rnacentral:ncRNA from 1 species
ACCGCUGAACCACUUUCAUGCUUGGGAUUGUGAACUGAAACUGUUCACAUGAACUUGGAAUUCCUAGUAAGUGUGAGUCAUUAACUCGCAUUGAUUACGUCCCUGCCCUUUGUGCACACCGCCCGUCGCUACUACCGAUUGAAUUAUUUAGUGAGGUCUCCGGACGUGAUCACUGUGACGCCUUGCGUGUUACGGUUGUUUCGCAGAAGUUGACCGAACUUGAUUAUUUAGAGGGAGUAAAAGUCGUAACAAGGGUUUCGUAAGUGGACCUGCGGAAGGAUCAUUA